UCCGUUGUCUCCAAGUGAGAAUUAUAUUUCAAAUAAACUCCAAAAUUAUAUAGGUAGUGCUCGUAGAUAUACUCAGCAAGUGGAUGUGCACAACUCUGUCUUAUGAUAACACGAGGUUGUAUGUCAUUAGACAUCUUGUAUGGUAGUGAAAAAACACCCUUCCAAAGUUGGGUUCACCUCACCCUAUUCGGUUCACCAAAAUUAAAUAUCAAAUGACGUAUACAAUAC
rnacentral:lncRNA from 1 species